AUGCUGCAAGAUAUUCUAACAUUAUAUGCCUUCAACAUUCAAUCAUCUUUGUUAAAAUCAUAUUCCAGGUACCUUGUUGUAAUUGAUGAUUUAUGGAGCACAAAAGCAUGGAAAACAAUCAGGGAUGCCUUACCGGAUAAUGAUCACAGAAGCAGAAUUAUCACAUCAACACGCAACCAUACAGUUGCCUCAUGUUGUUGUUUACAAGGCGAUUAUAUUUAUAAGAUGAAACCCCUCAGUUUUUCUGAGUCCAGAAAGUUAUUUCUUGAAAGAGCAUUUGGUUCUGAGGAUUUAUGCUACCCUCAUCUGAAAGAAGUAUGUAACAAGAUAUUGGAAAAAUGUGCGGGCUUGCCGUUGGCUAUUAUUUCCAUAUCUAGUUUGCUGGCAGAUGAACCUGCAAGAGAAGAAUGGGACAGGGCGCUAGCUGCUAUGGGUUCUUCACUUGAAGUGGAAGCUGGCGACAUGACAAAGAUAUUAUCACUGAGUUAUUUUGAUCUUCCUCACCCUAUGAGAACUUGUUUGUUGUAUUUGAGUGCAUACCCAGAAGAUCGUGUUAUCGAGAAAUGGAGUUUGAUACAAAAAUGGAUCGCCGAAGGAUUCAUCCAUGAACGACAAGGGUGGAGUACAUAUCAAGUAGGCGAGUAUUAUUUUAAUGAAUUGAUCAAUAGAAACUUGAUCAAACCAGCUAAUUUAGAGGACAAGGAGGAGUAUGGUCAGGUGUUGGCAUGCCAAGUUCAUGACAUCAUUCUUGAUUUCAUCACAUGCAAGGCCAAAGAAGAGAACUUCAUGACAUCAUUUGGUGAUGCGGAGCAGGGGAAGACACACAGGGUUCGAAGGCUCUCCCUAGUGAGCCGCAAUAAUGAUGAAAUGGCUACCGUGUCAGGGGAUCUCUCCCAUAUUCGAUCACUUGCUAUGUUUGGGUAUUUACCGCAGCAUUCUGCGUCUGAUUUUCCAGCUCUUGGUUUGUUGGAUUUCCCUGCUCUUUGUGUGUUAGACCUAGGAGAAUGUGAGGAUUUAGAAAACUUUCAUCUGGGAAAUGUUGAAAAGUUACUUCUUCUCAAGUACUUGCGUCUGGGAUCACGUUCAGAUUCAAUUACUGAGCUUCCAGAAGGAAUUGGGAAACUCAAGUACUUAGAAACACUGGACGUGCGUCGUCUCCGAGUUGGAAAACUGCCGUCAACUAUGACAAGGCUUCAAAGGUUGGUCCGUCUGUAUGGUGGCUUCGGACCUACUUGCUUAUGGAAUGGAACAAUUGGACAGCUGCAGAGCUUAGAAGAGCUAACAGAUGUGGAGAUCUUGGAAACCGAGGUAGGGAAGUUUCUGCAAGAACUCAGUCAGCUAACCAAGCUAAGGACGUUGAGUGUAUGUGUGCAAAGGAUGAAAAAGGAGGACGCUGCAAGGUUUGCAGGAACAUUAAUAUCUUCGCACAAUAUUCAUCAUCUAUCUAUCAGGCAGGACCAUCUGAAUGGAAUCCUGUUAGGACAGUGUAGAUACCCUGCUACAUUUGGUGCAUUCCGGCAGACAAGGUACGGUAACUUCUACAUUGAUCCGGAACUCCUGUCACUGGAAUCAUGGUGCCCUUCUAAUCCUAGUGCAUUCCGGAAGAUGUGCAUCCCUGACUAUUACAUUGACAAGGUUCCAAAUUGGAUGAGCUUGCUUGUAAAUCUCCGUGGAUUAGAGCUUUGUGUGUGCCGUAUUGGACCAGAAGACGUGGCGAUCCUUGGAGGAAUACCUGCUUUGGGUUUUCUGAAACUGGAGACUUUUUAUGGCAGAAAUGGAAGGAUCCUUGUCCGUGGGUUCAGAAGUUUGAAAUAUUUCAAGUUGAUCGUCAAGUAUUGUGGGACUGCAGUGGAGUUUCAAGAGGGAUCAAUGGCUAAGCUCGAGGUCCUCGAGCUUGAUAUCAAGGCGCAUGAGGUGACGUGCGUGAAUUAUGCUUCUGAUUUCGGCAUCCAGCACCUCUCCGCCCUCACCAAGGUGGAUCUCACUAUUUAUGGCUACAGUGGCUUUACGGAUGAAAUUCGCAGACUUAUCAAAACUGCUCUUGGGAAACUUGGCAACCGUCCCACUCUCUCAUAUUUUGAUGUGGCAGAUUUAUGUGAUCAUUUUGAGACGGCCGUAAGUCACCUGUCGGAACUGCUUGCCCUGAUUCUUUUACACUGUAUUUGUUCCAUCCAUCUCGCAUAUUAUUGGCCAGCCAUUUACUUUAGUGAUAACUUCUUGUCUCUAUGUUGUUUCGGGCUUAAUUUGUUUUCAUUUAAUUUAUUUUGUUUGGGCAGUUCAAACAAAUUGCGGAAGAUGCCCCGUCUUCCUUUUUUGAUCGGAUACUCCAAUAUAUUAAUGAAGAUGCUCUGUCGCGCUUGA
rnacentral:rRNA from 1 species